UAUACCCCUAAUGAUAUUGUGGGUGUAGCUGCUAUGUCACAUGUUCUUCAUUCAGUACGUUCAAUAAAGGAGAGAGGCUAUGUCUACACUCAGUGUUCUGACAUGUGAACAACUGAAUGAUUAAAAGCUUAACACU